rnacentral:rRNA from 1 species
UACGUAGGGUGCGAGCGUUAAUCGGAAUCACUGGGCGUAAAGGGUGCGUAGGCGGGUUUUUAAGUCAGGGGUGAAAUCCUGGAGCUCAACUCCAGAACUGCCUUUGAUACUGAAGAUCUUGAGUUCGGGAGAGGUGAGUGGAACUGCGAGUGUAGAGGUGAAAUUCGUAGAUAUUCGCAAGAACACCAGUGGCGAAGGCGGCUCACUGGCCCGAUACUGACGCUGAGGCACGAAAGCGUGGGGAGCAAACAGG